GCGGGUGUGGUGAAACUGGUAGACACGCCAGACUUAGGAUCUGGUGCCGCAAGGUUUAGGAGUUCGAGUCUCCUCACCCGCA
rnacentral:tRNA from 1 species